rnacentral:rRNA from 1 species
AUUGAACGCUGGCGGCAGGCUUAACACAUGCAAGUCGAGCGGGGUGAUGGUGCUUGCACUAUCACUUAGCGGCGGACGGGUGAGUAAUGCUUAGGAAUCUGCCUAUUAGUGGGGGACAACAUCUCGAAAGGGAUGCUAAUACCGCAUACGUCCUACGGGAGAAAGCAGGGGAUCACUUGUGACCUUGCGCUAAUAGAUGAGCCUAAGUCGGAUUAGCUAGUUGGUGGGGUAAAGGCCUACCAAGGCGACGAUCUGGAGCGGGUCUGAGAGGAUGGUCCCGCACACUGGGACUGAGACACGGCCCAGACUCCUACGGGAGGCAGCAGUGGGGAAUAUUGGACAAUGGGGGGAACCCUGAUCCAGCCAUGCCGCGUGUGUGAAGAAGGCCUUAUGGUUGUAAAGCACUUUAAGCGAGGAGGAGGCUCUUUUGGUUAAUACCCAAGAUGAGUGGACGUUACUCGCAGAAUAAGCACCGGCUAACUCUGUGCCAGCCGCCGCCGUAA